rnacentral:rRNA from 1 species
UACGUAGGGUGCAAGCGUUGUCCGGAAUUAUUGGGCGUAAAGAGCUCGUAGGCGGUCUGUCGCGUCUGCUGUGAAAACUCAGGGCUUAACCCUGAGCUUGCAGUGGGUACGGGCAGACUAGAGUGCGGUAGGGGAGACUGGAAUUCCUGGUGUAGCGGUGAAAUGCGCAGAUAUCAGGAGGAACACCCGGGGCGAAGGCGGCCCUCUGGCUCGACCCUGACGCUGAGGCGCGAAAGCGUGGGGAGCGAACGGG